CUACGGGACGCAGCAGUGGGGAAUAUUGGACAAUGGGCGCAAGCCUGAUCCAGCCAUGCCGCGUGAGUGAUGACGGCCUUCGGGUUGUAAAGCUCUUUUAGAUGAGAAGAUAAUGACGGUAUCAUCAGAAAAAGCACCGGCUAACUUCGUGCCAGCAGCCGCGGUAAUACGAAGGGUGCGAGCGUUGUUCGGAAUUACUGGGCGUAAAGGGCGCGUAGGCGGUCUUAUAAGAUAGAGGUGAAAUGCCAAGGCUCAACCUUGGAAUUGCCUUUAUAACUAUAAAGCUAGAGUUUGGUAGAGGUAAGCGGAAUACCCAGUGUAGAGGUGAAAUUCGUAGAUAUUGGGUAGAACACCAGAUGCGAAGGCGGCUUACUGGGCCAAUACUGACGCUGAGGCGCGAAAGCGUGGGUAGCAAACAGGAUUAGAUACCCGAGUAGUC
rnacentral:rRNA from 1 species